rnacentral:rRNA from 1 species
GUUGGGUAGGGGAGCGUUCUGUAAGCCUGCGAAGGUGGCCUGUGAGGGUUGCUGGAGGUAUCAGAAGUGCGAAUGCUGACAUAAGUAACGAUAAAGCGGGUGAAAAGCCCGCUCGCCGGAAGACCAAGGGUUCCUGUCCAACGUUAAUCGGGGCAGGGUGAGUCGACCCCUAAGGCGAGGCCGAAAGGCGUAGUCGAUGGGAAACGGGUUAAUAUUCCCGUACUUGGUGUUACUGCGAAGGGGGGACGGAGAAGGCUAUGUUGGCCGGGCGACGGUUGUCCCGGUUUAAGCGUGUAGGUGUGUGUUCCAGGUAAAUCCGGUUCACUUUAACACUGAGGCGUGACGACGAGGCACUACGGUGCUGAAGCAACAAAUGCCCUGCUUCCAGGAAAAGCCUCUAAGCAUCAGGUAACAUCAAAUCGUACCCCAAACCGACACAGGUGGUCAGGUAGAGAAUACCAAGGCGCUUGAGAGAACUCGGGUGAAGGAACUAGGCAAAAUGGUGCCGUAACUUCGGGAGAAGGCACGCUGACACGUAGGUGAAGUGAUUUACUCAUGGAGCUGAAGUCAGUCGAAGAUACCAGCUGGCUGCAACUGUUUAUUAAAAACACAGCACUGUGCAAACACGAAAGUGGACGUAUACGGUGUGACGCCUGCCCGGUGCCGGAAGGUUAAUUGAUGGGGUCAGCGCAAGCGAAGCUCCUGAUCGAAGCCCCGGUAAACGGCGGCCGUAACUAUAACGGUCCUAAGGUAGCGAAAUUCCUUGUCGGGUAAGUUCCGACCUGCACGAAUGGCGUAAUGAUGGCCAGGCUGUCUCCACCCGAGACUCAGUGAAAUUGAACUCGCUGUGAAGAUGCAGUGUACCCGCGGCAAGACGGAAAGACCCCGUGAACCUUUACUAUAGCUUGACACUGAACAUUGAGCCUUGAUGUGUAGGAUAGGUGGGAGGCUUUGAAGUGUGGACGCCAGUCUGCAUGGAGCCGACCUUGAAAUACCACCCUUUAAUGUUUGAUGUUCUAACGUGGACCCGUAAUCCGGGUUGCGGACAGUGUCUGGUGGGUAGUUUGACUGGGGCGGUCUCCUCCUAAAGAGUAACGGAGGAGCACGAAGGUUGGCUAAUCCUGGUCGGACAUCAGGAGGUUAGUGCAAUGGCAUAAGCCAGCUUGACUGCGAGCGUGACGGCGCGAGCAGGUGCGAAAGCAGGUCAUAGUGAUCCGGUGGUUCUGAAUGGAAGGGCCAUCGCUCAACGGAUAAAAGGUACUCCGGGGAUAACAGGCUGAUACCGCCCAAGAGUUCAUAUCGACGGCGGUGUUUGGCACCUCGAUGUCGGCUCAUCACAUCCUGGGGCUGAAGUAGGUCCCAAGGGUAUGGCUGUUCGCCAUUUAAAGUGGUACGCGAGCUGGGUUUAGAACGUCGUGAGACAGUUCGGUCCCUAUCUGCCGUGGGCGCUGGAGAACUGAGGGGGGCUGCUCCUAGUACGAGAGGACCGGAGUGGACGCAUCACUGGUGUUCGGGUUGUCAUGCCAAUGGCACUGCCCGGUAGCUAAAUGCGGAAGAGAUAAGUGCUGAAAGCAUCUAAGCACGAAACUUGCCCCGAGAUGAGUUCUCCCUGAGACUUAGAGUCUCCUGAAGGAACGUUGAAGACGACGACGUUGAUAGGCCGGGUGUGUAAGCGCAGCGAUGCGUUGAGCUAACCGGUACUAAUG